GACAGUUCAACAUGAACUAUGGGGAGAGCGGGGAUCGAACCGGGGACCUUGUGGUUACAGGACUCUCCCCACUGAGCUACACCCGACUAGUGUCUGCACAACAUUCAGUGGAGAUAAGUAUGCUGAAUUGUAAAGCUCCAGGAGAAAUGAGAUCACAGGUUUGCAGACUUCAAGACACACAGAGACACUUUUCAGAUGUUUGCUGACCUUCUCCUUCAAUGUGUAAGAGGCUCCUCUGGGCUUCACACUGAGCUCAUGGACCUGCAACUCUGAACUCAAAGCCAAGGUCAGGGAGGUGAGUGGACCAGCAGACAAGCUUGGACACCUCCCCUGAGCUUUUCAGGAUGUUCAAAUGGAGGUUUUGACCUCUCCUCCACCAGGACACACCGGACCAGAGUGAUGAGGACGGGGCUCGGAUGUGGAGACUGAAAGUCCCACAUCGUCUUCACUGGCGUCCCACGGACGGGAAGCGAGGCGGGGAGGUGGCUGAUGACCAGAGUCCAGGAAGAAGCCCGGCUCAGAAGGAAGAGGAGAGGAAGCAUGAAGGCGGUGGGGAAAAAACAAGUAAGUUCUUUUUAUGUAGCCACAUUCAUGUGUUCAUGUAGUCACAUUCACCUGUUCGUGUCGUCACAUUCACCUGUUCAUGUCGUCACAUUCACCUG